rnacentral:rRNA from 1 species
AGAGUUUGAUCCUGGCUCAGAAUGAACGUUGGCGGCGUGGAUUAGGCAUGCAAGUCGAGCGCGAACCCCGCAAGGGGGGAAAGCGGCGAAAGGGACAGUAAUACGUAGAUAUCUGCCCUCGGGUCCGGGAUAGCUGCGGGAAACUGCAGGUAAUACCGGAUAACAUCUCCGGAUCAAAGGUGUGAUUCCGCCUGAGGAUGAGUCUGCGUCCUAUUAGCUAGUUGGUAAGGUAACGGCUUACCAAGGCAAUGAUGGGUAGCGGGUGUGAGAGCACGACCCGCGUCACUGGGAUUGAGACACUGCCCAGACACCUACGGGUGGCUGCAGUCGAGGAUCUUCGGCAAUGGGCGCAAGCCUGACCGAGCGACGCCGCGUGCGGGAUGAAGGCUUUCGGGUUGUAAACCGCUGUCAGAGGGGAUGAAAUGUAGGUGGGUUCUCCCAUCUAUUUGACAUAGCCUCAGAGGAAGUACGGGCUAAGUUCGUGCCAGCAGCCGCGGUAAUUC